GUAGGUGGCAAGCGUUGUCCGGAAUUAUUGGGCGUAAAGCGCGCGCAGGCGGUUCUUUAAGUCUGAUGUGAAAGCCCACGGCUCAACCGUGGAGGGUCAUUGGAAACUGGAGAACUUGAGUACAGAAGAGGAAAGCGGAAUUCCACGUGUAGCGGUGAAAUGCGUAGGGAUGUGGAGGAACACCAGUGGCGAAGGCGGCUUUUCUGGUCUGUAACUGACGCUGAGGCGCGAAAGCGUGGGGAGCAAACAGGGAUUAGAUACCCUGGUAGUCCACGCCGUAAACGAUGAGUGCUAAGUGUUAGGGGGGUUUCCGCCCCCUUAGUGCUGCAGCUAACGCAUUAAGCACUCCGCCUGGGGAUACGGCCGCAAGGCUG
rnacentral:rRNA from 1 species